rnacentral:rRNA from 1 species
CGAACACGGUAGUUAAGCUUCUUUGCGCCAAUGGUAGUUGGGGGCUUCCCCCUGCGAGAGUAGGUCGCUGCCGGGC